UACGUAGGGUCCGAGCGUUGUCCGGAAUUAUUGGGCGUAAAGGGCUCGUAGGCGGUCUGUCGCGUCGGGGAGUGAAAACUUACAGCUUAACUGUGAGCGUGCUUCCGAUACGGGGCAGACUUGAGGUAUUCAGGGGAGAACGGAAUUCCUGGUGUAGCGGUGAAAUGCGCAGAUAUCAGGAGGAACACCGGUGGCGAAGGCGGUUCUCUGGGAAUAUCCUGACGCUGAGGAGCGAAAGUGUGGGGAGCGAACAGG
rnacentral:rRNA from 1 species